rnacentral:rRNA from 1 species
GACGAACGCUGGCGGCGUGCUUAACACAUGCAAGUCGAACGGAAAGGCCCUGCUUGUGUGGGGUGCUGGGGUGGCGAACGGGUGAGGAACAGGUGGGUAACGUACCAUUGAAUAUGGGUUAAUUUCAGGAAAGGAGGGCUAAUAGCGGAUGGGAGCAACUGCUGCUUGGUGGGGGUUGGAAAGUUGAGGCGGUUGGGGAUGGACGCGGGGCUUAUCAGAUCGUUUGUGGGGUAGUGGCAUACCAAGGCUUUGACGGGUAGCAGGCCUGAGUGGGUGACCGGACACAUUGGAAUGGAGCUGCGACCCAGACUCAUAUGGGAGGCAGCGGUGGGGAAUAUAGUACAAUGGGCGGAAGCCUGAUGCAACAACGCCGCGUGCGGGAAGACGGCAUUCGUGUUGUAAACCGCUUUCGCCUGUGACGAAGCGUGAGUGACGGUACUGUGUAAAGAAGCACCGGCUAACUACGUG